CACAAACAUGUGACGCGCAGCAGGUAGGAAUCUACCAUCUCACACUCACAUCCAGAAUAUCGUGUGUUCGAGACGGUAGAAGGCUGAGUGGUCCUAGAAUUUACUCAGAAAUUCUCGAAUCACCACAAUGCCCUAGCAAUCAUCCACAGAGCAUGAAGAAUGACUACGAGCGUUGAUUGGUGAUGUACUUGACGAGGGGCCUAUCGAUUCCGAUGAUGAAGAAAAUGCUGUUAGUGUAAGUGACCACGACACAUCAUCAGAGCAGGAAGAAGAUGAAAAUUACGAAGAUGAGGUCACUGAUGGUUACUACAAUGGAAAACACGAGACGAAUAAAUGAUGUAGAAAAUUCCCAUGAGGUCGCACAAUAUUAUUAUUCACCUUCCAGCCAUCGUUGGUGAUACCAAGCAAUGUGCUACACUAUUAAAAUAUUUCAAUCUCUUCAUAUGUCCUGAUGUUAUUGAACAAAUUGUUUUGUGUACAAAUAAGGCAUAGAGAGUCAGAAAGGGAAGUAUUCACAAGAACACUUACUAAAAUGUGCAACGAAACAUGAAGUGGAGGUAGUACAUGGACUCCAGUAUUUAGCAGAGACACAAAAGGCAAGAAGGUUGAAUUUAAAAGAUCGUUGGGCAUCUGAUGAAACUGGGAUAGAGAUUUUUCGGGCAAUUAUGUCCCUCCAAAGAUUCCGAUUACUCUGGCAGUGCCUUAGUUUUGAUGGCCAAGAUACUCGAGCAGCCAGAAAUGAAGUAGCCAAAUUGGCUACAAUUAGAGAUAUUCUUACUCAGGCCGUGGGUAACUGUUAGAAACAUUUCUCCGUCAGUGAAUAUUUCACACUAGACGAAGAAUUAGAAGUGUUGCAUGGUUGCCAGGGUGUGUUAACACCAUGAACUUACAAGUUUAUGUAGGUAAGCAGCCAGACGGGACUUUCAAAGAUAGCAACAAAACGGAAGUCUUAGUGGAACGACUUAUACAACUAAUUUUGGGUUCAGGUAGGAAUAUUAUGACAUAUACAUUGUUCACAAGUUGCGGCCUUGUCUCCAAACUUCUAAAGGA